rnacentral:tRNA from 1 species
GUCUGAAUAGCUCAGUGGUAAGAGCAGUCGCCCGGCAAGCGAAUGACUCGGGUUCGAUUCCCGAUUCAGCG